CUUUUAUCUGCUGAGACCUGAGGUGGGUUGACAGUGGAUUGACAGCUAACCUGAGCAGUUCUGAGCAUGUAACUUGGAGGAGAAGAUGAAGGGCUGAUGAAGAGCCUCUGUUGCAGUGAACUCAGAGCAGGGACAUUGUCUUGAGAAAAUAAAAAACAGAGCAGUACAAAGAGAGUUUGAAGAGCCCUGUGGUCCCAAAGGGCUGCCUGCCCCUUCUUUUAGCAGCUUUCAAGAUACUCUCCUUGUGCCACUUUGCUACUGAAUUUUGAAGAUGCUGAGGGCCAGGAAACUUCUGUGAACUUCACUGACAGUUGGAUGGACUUGGCAGAGAG